CACACCUCCCGUGCUCAGACACACACCCAAACUUCUCCCACCGCACCGUGCAUCUCUCUCGCCCGGCUCCUGCGCCCUAAAACGAGCUGGCGGUUUCAUGGGCGAGACGUUGGGUCUGUGCCACUGCUUUUGCACCUGAAGCGUUGAAUGAGCAGGAAAGGAAGGAAACCGCAAAGCUUUAGGAAACCCUCCUUCUAGCAAUCACUGUGUUGGCGAGAGGUCACGCUACAAGUUUGCAUGGUAACAGAAAUUGGAGGAGAUGCUUUUUGUUAGCAUUAUUAUCACUGCUGUUGUUGGCCGGUUGACUGAUUUUGAAAAAAGUUACAAAAUGGCAGUGCCUCCCAAAAGCAGGAUUCAGAAGAAACUGUUCUUCAGAAGUUAGCUGGAGGAAAAUACCUUAGAAAACUCGUCAAUGUGGUGCAUUUUUUUUAAGUUUCCAAAAAAAUGUACGCUCUUCUUCUUCUCUAGGAAAAUGUAGCCAUUGCUCUUCUUUAGAUUAGACAUUUCUAAUUUGUUCCGUCUGUCAGAAUGGGACUAUGAGAGGUUUUGGUGCAAAUUCAUUAUCUCUGGCAACGCAUAACGUAUAGUAGGAACUGAAAAAGACCGUGGCAAUGGAUGAACAAUAGGGCUUCAGUUCAUCAGCAACAAAAGCGUUGGGGAAAUUGGUUGAAUUUCAGAGCACGUCCUCCUCAGCAGAGAGGGCUGGACUAGACCUUGGCCAACCCCCCCAAAAAACUUGCAGAGCCUCACAUACAACACUUCACUUUCUACUCUGGGGCUUAGGAAGCAAUAUGGAAAAAAGAAAAAAAAACUUUUUGCAUUUCUUUCCCAUUUUUCUGGAUGGAAGCUCUCUAACUCUUUUAGAACCAAUCGUGCAAGAAUUACGCUAUGGAACUAAGCGGCACUUUUAAACAGAGAUGACGAGGGGAAAGAUCUGAAUUUCUGGAGACGUGAAAGAGCCUGCUUUCUGUGCUUUAAGGGGGCUCGACCGUGGGGAUCUUUGUUUUCCACCGGAGAUUCACCUAACCACCUAGCUCUGGGGGCAUAUCUCUCUUUUAUAAGAAGAAGGAAUAUUUAGACAACGCAGAAACGCCACAGGAAGCGACAAUCACGACAAGAAACGAGCAGUAUGUGGCUACUGACUUAUCUUCUUGAGGAGAAUGACUGAGAUGUCUGUUUGGAAUUAUUCCUGGAAUUAGACCAGCAUGAGGUCUCCUCUGCCAAUCUAAGGAAAAAUGGAGUUUAGAACUGACUCUCGACACUAGAUGCACAUUUGGCAGGAGGCCAAGGCGAAUCAGAAUAAACAACCAGAAGAAAAUGCCAAAUAUAAGAAAAUAACAGCAACUUAAUAUGAUUUAAUACCAAUAAAGUGGUUAAGGCAAUGAUUGCUUCAUCCCAGGAUACAUCUUUAGAUUCAUUGGAGGAAACCAUAUUUUUCCAGACCUAUGGAAAAGAGAAUUGUCCGACUGAGAACUGCGGAAGAUGUUCAGACCACGUGUAAGAGGGGAGUCAGACAUGAAGUAUCUUCACUAUACUCCAUAAAAGCAUUUAAGAUGGAUUACCGUGAAAUACAUCUACAGUUUUGAAUGCUUUGGAAACAAAAGAUGAUAAUAACAAAAAGAAAACUUGGUCUUAUUUAUCUACAUCAUGGAAUAUUUAAAGGCAAUAAUUAUUAAUACACCCCAUAGUGACAGCUGCUUUGGGGGCAGGGACAGCUCUGCAUUUGUACAGCACUUGGCAUAAAAAUCUUUGACAGGAGACACUACCAGAACAUAAAAUAAAUAGUAAAAAUAUGACUUUCAGUUUAUUUCCAUCUUUGUUCUAUUUUUUUUAAGGGUGCCUCAAUUAUUGCCAGCUUUUGAGCAAAUCCAAUAAAGCAUGUUUAGCACACGCACUGUUUCCAGUGCAUGCAAAAUGUUAAGGUAGGUGUCUCUUCAUGGGAGAAUAAAGGGCUUGAGUCUUGUAGUCAGAGCUGUGUGGGCAGAACCUGGAAAGUAUUCAGAGACUGCUAAUUUCAGUUCGUCUUCAGCGACACACGUCGCUGACUGGGGUCUGUGAAUUGGAAUAAGUCUACUAAACUAAUAUGGGAUCAGACCAAAUGGAAGAGGAAAAAGGUUCUUAACAGCCAUGAGUAACACAUACAGUUGCGGCAACCAAAUCUUAAUUUAUUUACCUAUUUAUUUAUUUUUAGGUGGGAACUCAUAGUAACUAUUGCCUGGGUCCUUUCAUUAUCUGCCUGUUGCACUGUGGAUUGAAAAUACAGCUCUUCUACUAAAUUCCUCCUUGUUUGCUUGCUUGCUUGCUUGCUUGCUUUCAACACUAUAGGCCUAAUGGACAAAUAAGUUAAGGACAUUGUUUCAUGCUAAACAUAUAUAAAUUUCAGAAGCAGACCGAUUUACGUCCAGUCAUAAUUUUGAAAUGGAAAUCAACAAGGAAAAACUAUGAUGCUUACUAGAGCAAUACCUAAGGCAUGUUUUUUCCUUUUUAUAAUAUUUAUAAAUUUUUUUUUUAACUUCAAAACCAAUAUCUUUCUGCAGAAUGAGGUAAUGUAUAUUUCAUUCUUUAAAGGCUUCUUAUAGAAUUAUCUAUCUUCUCCUUUUCUGUGAAAUUACUGUUUUGUCAAAUUUGCUUCCUUUAUUCUCUGCUUCUUAUGCUCAGCAAUAACGGUAUAGCUGCAUGUUAAAGAAAAGGCAAAAGUCAUCAGAAAAAAUAAUUCAGAUCAGUUUCAGCACAAAUGUAAUUUUUGUUUCUAGUUCAGCUUAAUUUUAUAAUAGCAGAGUUCAGCUUUUUAGAAAUUCUGUAGAUACUUUACAGAUAAAACAUUUGUCAGUUGCUGAGACAAAGAUUAUAAAACUGAGCGGUGAGAUUAGCUCUGGGUGUGUGUGUCUAUGUGUGUAACAGAGCCCUCAAUCAUCUUUGAUGCCAUGCCCUGCUAGCUAUUCAGAACUCCUUUUUCACUAGUACAACUGAACUUGUGAUAUAGGUAAUGUAUAUGUCUUUCCCAAUUUUCUAAUAAAAUAGACAGAUGAUAUUGCUAAGACACCUCUCUCUGUCUGGACUCCUAAUUAAAAUCUUUAAAAUCCCAGCUUUUUAGCCCAUUUCUAUGCUUCUCAGGAAGUUCAGCUAUUGGUGAAAAGGUUCCUCUUUUGAUCUUGAUCUAUUUUAAUCUGGGUAUUAUGGUGAUGGGCAUGGUCGAAGGCUCUGAGCAGCACAAUAGUACAGUAGUGACAGAAGAAUUAAAAGGCUCUGUAGUGAUAAAAGAAUUAAAAAUAGUACAAUGGUACAUAAUUUUAAAUACAGUUUAUUUAAACAUCCAGGAGCACACAAUAUAUGACCUAAACAUGUUCAUUGUUGUUUGUAAUAAGUGGUUUUGAGAGCUUUCAAUUUA